rnacentral:misc_RNA from 1 species
GAGAACAUUGCUCAUCGCGUCGUGCGAUCCUCCGGUGCGCAGCUUCGGCUUCGACGCAGCCAGCCGCGCCGAGGCCGGCCCAAGAGUAACAGGAGACGGUCCGCCGGGCAUUGGACUUUGCUUCCGUCCGCCGCUAAACUGCCCUCGACCGCCGUACACCAGACCACCCAGGAGGAACCCAUGCACAUCGGCGUCUGCAUCUUCGCCACCGACUACGCAAUCCGCAUCGACGAGCUGGCCCGGGAGGUCGAGGCGCGCGGUUUCGAGUCGCUCUUCGUCCCCGAACACACUCACAUCCCGGUGAGCCGGCGCACUCCCUUCCCGAGCGGUGAGCCGCUACCCAAGGAGUACGCUCACACCUUCGACCCGUUCGUGUCGCUCAUGGCGGCCGCGGCGGCGA